UACAGAGACUGCAAGCGUUAUUCGGAUUCACUGGGCGUAAAGGGUGCGCAGGCGGUUGGGUGUGUCAGAUGUGAAAUCCCGAGGCUUAACCUCGGAACUGCGUCUGAAACUACUCGACUAGAGUACUGGAGAGGGAAACGGAAUUCACGGUGUAGCAGUGAAAUGCGUAGAUAUCGUGAGGAACACCAGAGGCGAAGGCGGUUUCCUGGACAGUUACUGACGCUCAGGCACGAAAGCAUGGGGAGCAAAAAGG
rnacentral:rRNA from 1 species